AUUGAACGCUGGCGGCAUGCCUUACACAUGCAAGUCGAACGGCAGCGGGGACUUCGGUCCGCCGGCGAGUGGCGAACGGGUGAGUAAUGCAUCGGAACGUGCCAUUGAGUGGGGGAUAACGUAGCGAAAGUUACGCUAAUACCGCAUAUUCUGUGAGCAGGAAAGCAGGGGAUCGCAAGACCUUGCGCUCUUUGAGCGGCCGAUGUCAGAUUAGCUAGUUGGUGGGGUAAAGGCCUACCAAGGCGACGAUCUGUAGCGGGUCUGAGAGGAUGAUCCGCCACACUGGGACUGAGACACGGCCCAGACUCCUACGGGAGGCAGCAGUGGGGAAUUUUGGACAAUGGGCGAAAGCCUGAUCCAGCCAUGCCGCGUGAGUGAAGAAGGCCUUCGGGUUGUAAAGCUCUUUCGGUCGGGAAGAAAUCGCACAGGCUAAUACCUUGUGUGGAUGACGGUACCGGACUAAGUAGCACCGGCUAACUACGUGCCAGCAGCCGCGGUAA
rnacentral:rRNA from 1 species